CUCACCUGAAGAACUUGUUAAAAUUCCAGAUUCUGCUUCAGUCGGGGAGGGCUGGGUCUGAGAUUCUGCAUUUCUAGCAAGUUUCCAGGUGAUGCUGA
rnacentral:pre_miRNA from 1 species